rnacentral:rRNA from 1 species
GAUGAACGCUGGCGGCGUGCCUAAUACAUGCGAGUCGAGCGAACAGACGAGGAGCUUGCCCCUCUGACGUUAGCGGCGGACGGGUGAGUAACACGUGGAUAACCUACCUAUAAGACUGGGAUAACUUCGGGAAACCGGAGCUAAUACCGGAUAAUAUAUUGAACCGCAUGGUUCAAUAGUGAAAGACGGUUUUGCUGUCACUUAUAGAUGGAUCCGCGCCGCAUUAGCUAGUUGGUAAGGUAACGGCUUACCAAGGCAACGAUGCGUAGCCGACCUGAGAGGGUGAUCGGCCACACUGGAACUGAGACACGGUCCAGACUCCUACGGGAGGCAGCAGUAGGGAAUCUUCCGCAAUGGGCGAAAGCUUGACGGAGCAACGCCGCGUGAGUGAUGAAGGUCUUCGGAUCGUAAAACUCUGUUAUUAGGGAAGAACAAAUGUGUAAGUAACUAUGCACGUCUUGACGGUACCUAAUCAGAAAGCCACGGCUAACUACGUG